CUAUUCUGCAGUCGAGCGGACCGACGGGAGCUUGCUCCCUUAGGUCAGCGGCGGACGGGUGAGUAACACGUGGGUAACCUGCCUGUAAGACUGGGAUAACUCCGGGAAACCGGGGCUAAUACCGGAUGCUUGAUUGAACCGCAUGGUUCAAUCAUAAAAGGGGGCUUUUAGCUACCACUUACAGAUGGACCCGCGGCGCAUUAGCUAGUUGGGGAGGUAACGGCUCACCAAGGCGACCAUGCCUAACCCACCUGAGAGGGUGAUCGGCCACACUGGGACUGAAACACGGCCCAAACUCCUACCGGAGGCAGCAGUAGGGAAUCUUCCGCAAUGGACCAAAGUCUGACCGAACAACCCCCCCUGAGUGAUGAAGGUUUUCGGAUCCUAAAACUCUGUUGGUAGGGAAGAACAAGUUCCGUUCGAAUAAGGCGGUACCUUGACCGUACCUAACCAGAAAGCCACGGCUAACUUCGUGCCAACAGCCGCGGUAAUACGUAGGGGGCAAGGGUUGUCCGGAAUUAUUGGGCGUUAAGCGCGCGCAAGCGGUUUCUUAAGUCUGAUGUGAAAGCCCCCCGCUCAACCGGGGAGGGUCAUUGGAAACUGGGGAACUUGAGUGCAGAAGAAGAAAAUGGAAUUCCACGUGUAACCGUGAAAUGCCUUAGAAAUGUGGAAGAACACCCGUGGCGAAAGCCACUCUCUGGGUCUGUAACUGACCCUUAGGCCCCAAAACGUUGGG
rnacentral:rRNA from 1 species